AAUCUUCACUUUCAAUUAAAUUCUAUCAUUUUUUUCCUCAUCCAAACACACUAUUGGGGUUUUUACAUUUUUCUUGUUCUAGGUCCAACUUCAUUUGGACGCGAACAAUCCUCGACCCCCCACUCCGCGACACCGUGUUGCUCCUCCUGGAAUCGACGUCCAAAAUGCUCCUCCACGAGGACCCCGACAAUUUACACGAAUAUUCUUCUCGUUUGGGGGUUUCUGGCUUCCUCGGGUUUCUUUAUAUUUUCUUGUGAUUUUGUUGCAGAUCGAAAUCCAAAACGCUCCUCCUCGAAGAUGGGUUGAUCUAUUCGUGCAAUUCAAUUUACACCAAACCAAAAAAAUUGGGCUCGUUUCUGGUCUCGUUAAAUUUUGCUUUCUUCUUGCAGAAUGAAAAUGCUCGAGGAGGCCCCAGUGUUGCUUCUACCAACGCUCCAAUUCAAGCCUCUAAGGUCAAAAACGAUGAAGAAGUUCCCAUGGCAUAUGUGCUGAUGUACAACCAUUUGCUUUUUGCUCCUAUUGAAGAGUUCUGUACGAUUCUUCUGUGUUCAUACCGUUUUGGAAUUUAGAUCAUACUCUGCCUUAUCUGGUUUUCAGUUCAUUCCGUUUUGGAAUUUGUAUGAAACUUGCACAAACUUGAGUGCUUAUCAGCUUUAGUGUACUGCCCUUUAGUUCCUUCAUUUGUUCAUUUGGAAAUUUUUUGAGUUCGGCCUGGUGUAAUUCAUUUCACAAGGAUUCUUCUUUGUUUGUUUUGGCCUAUUCAGAUGAAGUGCCCAUGUGUUCUGUUGGUAUUACUUUGUUAAUCAACUCUUCAAGGCAAUAAAUAAAGUUGUUACUAUUCUGUUUCUGAUGUCUAA